rnacentral:rRNA from 1 species
GGCGGACGGGUGAGUAAUACUUAGGAAUCUGCCCAUUAGUGGGGGACAACUAGAAGAAAUUCUAGCUAAUACCGCAUACGCCCUACGGGGGAAAGCGGGGGAUCUUCGGACCUCGCGCUAAUGGAUGAGCCUAAGUCGGAUUAGCUUGUUGGUGAGGUAAUGGCCCACCAAGGCGACGAUCCGUAGCUGGUCUGAGAGGACGAUCAGCCACACUGGGACUGAGACACGGCCCAG